GCUGGGUGCGAUGGCAUGUGCCUGUAGUCCCAGCUACUUGGGAGGCUGAGGUAGGAGGAUCGCUUGAGCCCAGGAGUUCUGGGCUGUAAUGCGCUAUGCCAAUUGGGUGUCCGCACUAAGUUCAGCAUCAAUAUGGUGACCUCGAGGAGCGGAGGACCACCAGGUUGCCUAAGGAGGGGUGAACUGGCCCAGGUCGGAAACGUAGCAGGUCAAAACUCCCAUGCUGAUCAGUGGCAGGAUUGCACCUAUGAGUAGCCACUGCACUCCAGGCUGGGCAACAUAGUGAGACUCCAUCUCU
rnacentral:SRP_RNA from 1 species